GAGUUCUCUGAGGCCCGUGAAGACAUGGCUGCCCUAGAGAAGUAUUAUGAGGAGGUUGGUGUGGAUUCUGUGGAAGGUGAGGGUGAGGAAGAAGGGGAGGAAUACUAGUUCAUUCCUCCAGUGCCUGUAUCGUGUCAAACUCAAAACUCCAGCUCCAGCACUAGCUGCAGGCAUUGAUGCUCUGUGCUAUUUCCCUUCUGUGAUCAUGUCUUCUCCAUGUGUACCUCUUAAGUUUUCCAUGAUGUCUCAAAGUAAAAGCAUUAAGAAAAGAAAAAGAAAAAAACU
rnacentral:lncRNA from 1 species